rnacentral:rRNA from 1 species
GAAGAUGCAAUCUACCCGCUGCUAGACGGAAAGACCCCGUGAACCUUUACUGUAGCUUUGCAUUGGACUUUGAAGUCACUUGUGUAGGAUAGGUGGGAGGCUUGGAAGCAGAGACGCCAGUCUCUGUGGAGUCGUCCUUGAAAUACCACCCUGGUGUCUUUGAGGUUCUAACCCAGACCCGUCAUCCGGGUCGGGGACCGUGCAUGGUAGGCAGUUUGACUGGGGCGGUCUCCUCCCAAAGCGUAACGGAGGAGUUCGAAGGUUACCUAGGUCCGGUCGGAAAUCGGACUGAUAGUGCAAUGGCAAAAGGUAGCUUAACUGCGAGACCGACAAGUCGGGCAGGUGCGAAAGCAGGACAUAGUGAUCCGGUGGUUCUGUAUGGAAGGGCCAUCGCUCAACGGAUAAAAGGUACUCCGGGGAUAACAGGCUGAUUCCGCCCAAGAGUUCAUAUCGACGGCGGAGUUUGGCACCUCGAUGUCGGCUCAUCACAUCCUGGGGCUGUAGUCGGUCCCAAGGGUAUGGCUGUUCGCCAUUUAAAGUGGUACGUGAGCUGGGUUUAAAACGUCGUGAGACAGUUUGGUCCCUAUCUGCAGUGGG